GGACAGACAGCGCUCCUAAUAUGGUGGCAGCAGGGAGGAUACUGCCAUUCGAGCAUGUGCCCUGUGUUGCGCAUGUUGUACAGAGAGCUGUUGUAAUGUCACUUCGGGAUGGUGGUUUUGAUGGUGCACUGGCCAAGUGCCGUAAAGUGGUCGUACAUUUCAAACACAGUCCGGCCAACUCAGACGAGCUGAAUGCCCAGCAAGCCUCCCUUGGACAAGAUCAGGAGCAACUUGUGCAAGAUGUUCCUACACGGUGGAAUUCCACCCUUGAGAUGAUCAAGCGUGUGAGGCGCAACAGAGACGCACUGCACACAACGCUGUCUCAGCAGAAGCACAAUCUGGCCCUCCCAACAAAUGCUGAAUAUGAGAAGUUGGCAAAGCUCGAGAAACAGCUGGAGCCAUGCAGGUACAUCACUGAGCUCCUUGGUGGGGAUAAGUAUGUAUCCUGCUCUGUGGUUCUACCUGCCCUGUGCCACCUCCAGCAUGCGAUGAAGAUCUCAGAUGAUGAUCCUGCCUAUAUUGUGCGAUUCAAGGCUGCCUUCACCACGGACCUCAACCAGCGGAGCGAGAAAAUAAACCUGGAAUGGCUUAAGGCAGGCCUAUUCAACUAGCGGCCCGUGGGCCAAAUACGGCCCCUCUCAAUUUUUUUCUGGCCCGCAAGAGGUUGCAUGCAAAAAAUAAAUAAAAUAAAGGAGAAACAUAGUUGAAUGCAAACCAGGUUUCUGUGUGUAGCCGGUGAUACUAGCCAGUAUCAGUAUCCCACAAUCAGGAACUGGCAUCACUUAUUCCGACAAUGUUUGGCUCAACCGAUACGUGUGAGUCUAGCUUUUCUCAUAUGAAUGCCAUCAGAACAAGGGCACGUUGCUCCAUGACCUAUGAGAAGCUGCAUGAGUGUCUCAGGAUGAGCCAAACUAGGCAAACAAGGCAGUGCAAUCUUUCUCACUGACUCACUGGCUCAAAAUGUCUCAUAUGUACAGUAGUUCUGUUUUGUGAUGAUUCAAACAACAUUGUUUAAUUCUAAAUACGUGUCCAAAAUAUGUGAGAACAAAAUCUUUUAUAA
ensembl:lncRNA